GUCUGUGUGACUCAGUGGUUGGAGUGUCAGCCUGCACACUGAGGGUCAUGGGUUCAAUUCCUGAUCAAGGGCA
rnacentral:tRNA from 1 species